rnacentral:lncRNA from 1 species
AUUGUCUACAAAAUGGAUCAAAGUGAGUCCCUGGCGCCAUGCCCAAUGCAUCCUGGACAGGUAACCUCAGAGCUGUGAAGUGGAAGGAUAUGGAAUCGCAGAAUGGAGCCUGCCACGGUCACUACGUACAUGACAUUUGCAUCUAUGGAAACGGAGACUUGCAAUGGCUGAUUAAUUCGCAGAGCCUGUUUGCUAACAAGUUUGAAGUCAACACAUACCCUCUCACUGUGGAAUGCUUGGAACUGAGGCUUCGAGAAAGAACGCUCAAUCAGAGUGACAUUGCCUUACAGCCCAGCUGGCAUUUCUGAUCCACAGCAGCUCUGGCCUGAACGGAAAUUGAAGACACAAGACAGAGCUUUCUUUUCCAAGAGACUCUUGUCUUGGUUAUGCUGAAGGCUUAAAAAAAAUGGUUUCAGGAAACCAU